rnacentral:rRNA from 1 species
AGAGUUUGAUCAUGGCUCAGGAUGAACGCUGGCGGCGUGCCUAACACAUGCAAGUCGAACGAAGCUUGACGGAUGAUUUCUUCGGAAUGAAACCAGAUAUGACUUAGUGGCGGACGGGUGAGUAACACGUGAGCAACCUGCCUUUCAGAGGGGGAUAACGGCUGGAAACGGUCGCUAAUACCGCAUGACGUGUUCGGAUGGCAUCAUCUGAACAUCAAAGAUUUAUCGCUGAAAGAUGGGCUCGCGUCUGAUUAGAUAGUUGGUGGGGUAACGGCCUACCAAGUCGACGAUCAGUAGCCGGACUGAGAGGUUGAACGGCCACAUUGGGACUGAGAUACGGCCCAGACUCCUACGGGAGGCAGCAGUGGGGAAUAUUGCACAAUGGGGGAAACCCUGAUGCAGCAACGCCGCGUGAAGGAUGACGGUUUUCGGAUUGUAAACUUCUUUUCUUAGUGACGAAGACAGUGACGGUAGCUAAGGAAUAAGCAUCGGCUAACUACGUGCCAGCAGCC